CCGGGACCAGCCGGCCCGCCUACAGCCCGGGCCCGCCGGCCGCAGACAUGGACGCACCGGGCCCCGAAGCACCCGGCGGGCGCGCACUGCGGGACACGAAGGAGCUGCAGUGCCAGAGAUGAGAUGGCCCAGGGCUGGCAGUCUCAUUAAGAAGAUUUGGUUAGGUGUACACAAUUGAAGCCACGUUUUUCGGACCAAAAAAAAAAAAAAAAUCUGAUUGACCGCCGGGAAGCGCUCCAGACAGAGGGCCUGCUCCACACAGGAAAGCAGAGUCCAGCGGGAGACCCGCCUCGGCUCUAAAGCGGAGAUAACACUGUGCGCGGAGGGAGUGUCCUGGACGGGGCAGAAAAUCUAUUUCAGGAACUUCAAGAACAUUUUCAAGCUCUGACGGCAACAUUAAACCUCAGAAAUAUCCUUUUCUAUUUCAUAACAAAUAUUGCAAUGCUUUUGGACUGUUGAACUGUUGUGGACUACCUUGUUGUUUCCUGCUGUUGGUGGAUAAUUACUGACCCCGAGCUUCCUGGUGUUUUCAUCUGUGCUUUUACAAAGCAUCCUGAUGUGUUAAUUACCACCUGAAGGGAGUUUUCAUCAGUCUUUGAGGGACCGAGCUAGGUGCCCGUGUCCCAUGUUCUGCUCUCCUUGACCUUAUACUGGAAGAAAUGGGGGGUCGCAUUGAAGACUUGCAGAAGAACGUGAAUGACUUGAUGGCCCAAGCCGGAAUUGACAGUCCUGCUCAGAAACACAGACUUGAAGACAGAACAGUCAUUUGAAAAUAUGAAAAAGUGAAAACUUUACUAUAACAGUUCAAUAAUUCCAGUCACACGAUUUGGGGGAAGAUUCAUGUUCACCGUCCAGUCCAAGCAGACCCUGAUGGUAUGUUCUCCAAACCAAAGGAAAACCAGAGAAGCAGCUGAUGCAGGAACUCUGGACUGCUUCCUGGGACACCCUCACCUGCCCCGCCCCCACGUAGAGGUCAUGACCAAGGAGGUGCACAAAGAUUGCACCCACCUUUAUCUUGUCAGUUAGAGAUGUUUUCAAGUAAUUGUCAAUUCACCUAUCUCUGAGCCAAAGUAAAAAAAAAGCUAUGAUCACCUAAAACAAGGUCCAUUGUAGGCUCUUAUAAAAAGAAAAAUUAUCCCUGCAUAUAAAAGAAAUCAUACUCUUUAUACUAAAGUCAAAAGCACUUCUACAAUUCAGAAUUACACACUAUCGAUACUUUUUUCUGUGCAAGCAAUUUUAUAUAGUUCAUCAUAUUGCUUGUAAUCCAAUAUCCUGUUCUCAUAUCAUAAACACUUUUCCCCAUGUGAAAGUUUCCUACACACUUUGUAUGGUUACUAUACUCUAUCAUGUGGCUGAAACAAUUUAACCAUCUCCUUAACCAUUCCUUGGGGUUGAGGUCAUUUCUUACUUUCUGGCUAGUAUAAAUGUGCUUUAAUGAGCAUUGGCUAUCUUCGAAUUCUCUGCACAUUUCUCUAGGGCCAGAAGUAUGACCACAGGCCAAGCACACUGAGCAGAAUGCAUGUAAGAAAGGAAGGGUCAUUUUACCAACAGUAAUGCAAACCCAAAGUUUUCAAAUUGCAUCAUUUAAAUUCAGUGUUCUUGGUGGCUUAAAAUCAUAUUUCCAUUUGGUUAUAUGAAAGAUCUCAAAGCAUCUUAGCUGUAAUUUUAAUUUUAGCAGAAACUAGAGAAAAUUACUUGAAUUAAAGUAAACCAAACAGAUUUGCAUUUCCAUGAAUAACACAGAACACAACUUAAAGUCCAGGAUUUUUAAUAAAUUAAGUAAGUAGGAAAGAAAGCUUCUGUUUAGUUAUUAAAUAAAAACAUAGACAUUGUCAAAAAUUUAUUAACUUCUUUGCAAAGAAAGUUCUCAGCUGAUCCUCUUUUAUUGGCUCAUUUGGCCGUUUAACAUCUCAGUUAUUCACUCAAACCACAGAUAUCUACCUUUAAAGAGAUUACUUGGUAUUUUUUAAUAUCAUAUCUGUUUCAGUAUUUUCCUAACACUUUUACAAAUAAUUGCUAUUUUCCAGCACCCUGGUACAUAUAUUUAGAAGAAAUCAGAAUGUUUUCACAAGAGGGAAAAUACUAGACAGAUUUACAUGUACUUAAAUACUCUUAUUCUAAUCUAAAUGGGAUUAACACAACUUUAGUAGAAAGCAGUUUAUUCAUUGAAUACCUAAGUAAAAUGGAGUUACUUCAAUAUCAAAUCCUAUACUCUAGGAUUGAAUCUGUAAUUUAAAACUCACUUAACACAAAGUUAUGAAACUUAUGAAAAUAUAAAGCUUAAUAAUAGAGUUGAAUCUAUAAGGCAGAAGUGCUGAAAGUUUUAAAUUCUCACAUUUCAUUUUCUUUUUUACAAUUGCCUGAUCUAUCAUCAUAGAUUUUUAACUCUCCCCAAAUCUCCUUUCAGCACUCCCGCCCAAGCUUUUUGGAAGUGAAUUCCAUCACCUCACACCUCCUUCCCUAGCAGAGCCUCUCUGCAGCCGCUAGCUCCCCUCAACCACACCACAUUCCCCAGUCCCAGGCCCUCGUCCCACCACAGGGCCUGGUUCCAAGGUUCCUUCUGGACCAGAGUUACACACACACACACACACACACACACCAGUUAGCACUUUUUGUAUCUGAUCUCAGCUUAAACAUGAUCUCCUGAGAGGUUCUUUCCCUGAAUGCCUGUCUGGGUCUGAUGUACUUCAUGUGGUCUCUGGCUGACUGUCACAGUUGUCAUUUCACUUCUUUGUAAUCAUUUGAGUCUCCUCCACAAGGCAGCAACCGGUUUGAUUUUGCUCACCUCAGCUUCUCAGGGCUGACACCAGCCCUGGGACCCACGAGCUACUCAAACAUUUUUUUAAAUUAAUGAAUGAAUUUUUGAAGUUUCUAAAUACUUUGCAAUCUUUUCUAUGAUGCUUUUUGCCCACGGAGAUGUGUGAGAGCUUGAUCACUUUUUGACAAGAAAACCAGAGGCCACAGGGAAGACUGGGAACAACAGCAGUGACUGUAGACCGGGGUGGUGUGGGGAGGCACCACUGAGCUCCUGAGGGCACUGAGUGUUCUUUGUAAACCUUUGACAAAAAGUGUAAAAAUGCCAAAAAGAAUGCUAGCAUCAGUUGCAUUUAAAAACUAUGUAGGAAAACUCUUCAAAAUGAUACCCACCUAAAGCAAGUCUUCCAAAAGGUCCCAGUCUGAUCUUCAAGACCUCAUAUAGUCACAAGAAGUCUGAGGAGGUCUUGAAUAUACACCCUGCGUUUUAACUAAGCAACCCAAGAAACCACACUCUGAGUGUGGUUUCAGAAACAUCAUCAGUGCGGUUUUCUAGGAGAGUUGUAUACAGUAGAUGCUUUGAUUCGGUCGGUGCCCGCUCCUCAUCUCUUACCGGCUCAGCGCAGACAGAACUGGGCAGUCUAGCCUGUGGACACUUGGAUGCCUACGUAACAGCCUGUUGCAAACAGACGGCUGCUGUUUCUUGUACUGUUUCAGAUCUUUGUUGUGAAUGUCUUAAAACUAUGUAAAUAGCAUUAUACCCCAGUAUCCUUCUGUACCUAGUUUUCCAUUCAGUGGUUUGAGAUUUGCCUGUGUUAAUAUGUGUAGGUCUAGAUCAAUGUAACUAACUGCAAUAUAAUAGUCCUUUUACUAUUUAUCAUGUUUCCAAAUAAUGCUGCAAUAAAUAACUCUGCAGAGACA